GGGCUUAUGGUCUAGGUGGUUAUGACACCGCCUUUACACGGCGGAGGUCGCCGGUUCGAAUCCGGCUGGGCCCA
rnacentral:tRNA from 1 species